rnacentral:rRNA from 1 species
UACAGGGGGUGCAAGCGUUGCUCGGAAUCACUGGGCGUAAAGCGUGCGCAGGCGGUUGUGCAAGACAGAUGUGAAAUCCCCGGGCUCAACCUGGGAAUUGCAUUUGUGACUGCACGGCUAGAGUGUGUCAGAGGGGGGUAGAAUUCCACGUGUGAGCAGUGAAAUGCGUAGAGAUGUGGAGGAAUACCGAUGGCGAAGGCAGCCCCCUGGGAUAACACUGACGCUGAGGCGCGACAGCGUGGGGAGCAAACAGG